GACGAACGCUGGCGGCGUGCCUAAUACAUGCAAGUAGAACGCUGAAGAGAGGAGCUUGCUCUUCUUGGAUGAGUUGCGAACGGGUGAGUAACGCGUAGGUAACCUGCCUUGUAGCGGGGGAUAACUAUUGGAAACGAUAGCUAAUACCGCAUAACAAUGGAUGACACAUGUCAUUUAUUUGAAAGGGGCAAUUGCUCCACUACAAGAUGGACCUGCGUUGUAUUAGCUAGUAGGUGAGGUAAUGGCUCACCUAGGCGACGAUACAUAGCCGACCUGAGAGGGUGAGCGGCCACACUGGGACUGAGACACGGCCCAGACGCCUACGAGAGGCAGCAGUAGGGAAUCUGCGGCAAUGGGGGCAACCCUGACCGAGCAACGCCGCGUGAGUGAAGAAGGGUUUCGGAUCGGAAAGCUCUGUUGUAAGUCAAGAACGGGUGUGAGAGUGGAAAGUUCACACUGUGACGGUAGCUUACCAGAAAGGGACGGCUAACUACGUG
rnacentral:rRNA from 1 species